rnacentral:rRNA from 1 species
AAUUGAAGGAAGUUUUCGGAUGGAAUUCGAUUGACUGAGUGGCGGACGGGUGAGUAACGCGUGGAUAACCUGCCUCACACUGGGGGAUAACAGUUAGAAAUGACUGCUAAUACCGCAUAAGCUUACGGUACCGCAUGGUACAGUAAGGAAAACUCCGGUGGUACAGGAUGGGCCCGCGUCUGAUUAGCUGGUUGGCGGUGUAACGGACCACCAAGGCAACGAUCAGUAGCCGGCUUGAGAGAGUGAACGGCCACAUUGGGACUGAGACACGGCCCAAACUCC